rnacentral:rRNA from 1 species
UACGUAGGGUGCGAGCGUUAAUCGGAAUUACUGGGCGUAAAGCGUGCGCAGGCGGUUUGUUAAGCCAGAUGUGAAAGCCCCGGGCUCAACCUGGGAACUGCGUUUGGUACUGGCAAGCUAGAGUACGGCAGAGGGGGGUGGAAUUCCACGUGUAGCAGUGAAAUGCGUAGAGAUGUGGAGGAACACCGAUGGCGAAGGCAGCCCCCUGGGCCGAUACUGACGCUCAGGCACGAAAGCGUGGGGAGCAAGCAGG